ACAUCAUCACAGAGCCCUGCACAUCUCGCAUGCGAGGCAGUUCUGUAGGAAGCACAAGAAAGUGGGUAUGAAAGCUAUGAGACGAUGGCCAAUACAGAUAUUGACAGGGCUGGAAUAUCAUUAGAGUCCGGCGCCAACGAAUAUACAUAGCGACUUAAAGUGUGACAAUAUAUUCAUAAAUAGUCCUGAUGGAACAGUGAAGAUCGGCGACUAUAUGGUCUGGCGACAUUAUUGCAUCAAUGGAAAAAGCAAAGUGUCAAAGGCGCAUUAGACUUUAUGGCACUAGAACGCUUCACUGGCAAUACAAUGAGUUGCUUGGGUAUUCCAAUCCCCUUCGCAGCCUCUUCUGUCAAUCCAGCAGCACACCGCUGCCCUUCG